UGGGAAGAAAUUUCAAACAAAUUAAACGCAGUAGGUCCCCCAAUCAAGGACAGAACUGGAUGGAAGAAGGUUUGGACAGAUUUCAAGUUUGCGACGAAGAAAAAAAUGG
rnacentral:lncRNA from 1 species